rnacentral:rRNA from 1 species
AUUGAACGCUGGCGGCAGGCCUAACACAUGCAAGUCGAGCGGAUGAGUGGAGCUUGCUCCAUGAUUCAGCGGCGGACGGGUGAGUAAUGCCUAGGAAUCUGCCUGGUAGUGGGGGACAACGUUUCGAAAGGAACGCUAAUACCGCAUACGUCCUACGGGAGAAAGCAGGGGGACCUUCGGGCCUUGCGCUAUCAGAUGAGCCUAGGUCGGAUUAGCUAGUAGGUGAGGUAAUGGCUCACCUAGGCGACGAUCCGUAACUGGUCUGAGAGGAUGAUCAGUCACACUGGAACUGAGACACGGUCCAGACUCCUACGGAGGCAGCAGUGGGGAAUAUUGGACAAUGGGCGAAAGCCUGAUCCAGCCAUGCCGCGUGUGUGAAGAAGGUCUUCGGAUUGUAAAGCACUUUCAGUCGAGGAGGAAGGGUUGUGUGUUAAUAGCACAUAGCCUUGACGUUACUCG